ACCAGAAGACUGCAGGGCAGCUAAUGCUGUUCCAUCACUUCAGGGUUGCAGGGAAACAGCAGGAAAUUACAACCCCGUGAGCCCAGUGCUGGGUGUGCAGACUUCGAAGGAUAAAAUCACCACAAAACACCACACAGUGCAGUAACUCGAGAAUAACCACGGAAAGAGAACACACCUCCAAGACCAUCAGAAGUACAAGAAGACAUCACCAAGUCGAGCCCGGUCAACUUCUAGUGGGGUGGUUUGCGAUCAUCCAAAGUUACGUUCAAGCAUAAGAUCAUUUGUAGCGUUUAUCAUUGUAUUACAAUACAUUUUACUGUUAUAAUAUUAAAUGUGUUCAAUAAACAAAUAUUGUUUGAAAGA